rnacentral:rRNA from 1 species
GAUGAACGCUGGCGGCGUGCUUAAUACAUGCAAGUCGAACGGAGACUGUAGCAAUACUGUCUUAGUGGCGAACGGGUGAGUAACGCGUUGGUGACCUGCCCCGAAGAGGGGGAUAACAGUCCGAAAGGAUUGCUAAUACCCCAUGUGGUCAUUUGGAUUAGAUGCCUUAUGACUAAACGGAUUUAUUCGCUUCGGGAGGGGCCUGCGUCCCAUCAGCUAGUUGGUAAGGUAAUGGCUUACCAAGGCUAUGACGGGUAGGGGACCUGAGAGGGUGGCCCCCCACAAUGGAACUGAAACACGGUCCAUACACCUACGGGUGGCAGCAGUAGGGAAUAUUGGUAAUCUGGGAAACCGGGAACCAGCAACGCCGCGUGCGCGAUGAAGGCCUUCGGGUUGUAAAGCGCUUUUAAAGGGAUGAGGAAGG